rnacentral:misc_RNA from 1 species
AUGAACCUUCUUUCUUGUUUGCUUGUGCUGUGUUGUGUCGGCGGCGCUCUUGAAGAGCAACGGCACUGACCACUCCCUGUGUCUCUGUCCGCACUCACCUCUUCUCUCGCUUUGCUUUCCUCCGCGUUUGACGGUGCACUACCAAUGCCGUUUAUGCAAUUCCUCGUUGUGGGACCCAGUGACGCCUGCCUCUUCGCGUACGGAGGCAGCGGCACGAACAUUAGCGACAGCAGUGAUAACGAGUUGGCGCAUUACUUCUCCCUCUACUCCGCAUUAGAUGUGAUUGACGAGGCAAUGUGGACCAGAGGCGAUUUUCUUCUCAGCAGAGUUGAUCGUCCCUACGGCGACUCGUACUACAUCUCCGCGUACGUGGGCCUUGCCCCUGUUCGUCUUCUGCUCAUGCAGGAUUCUGAGCCGAAGGACUCCCUAUCCACCUUUUUUAGCGAGGCGUAUCACCUAUGUGUACGGUACUUCAUGAACCCCUUCAGCACGACCUGCAAAAAGAUCCAAAGUACUACGUUUCGGGAUGAGAUGACUCUGCUGUGUCGCAAGUACUGCUGACGGUCGUCGCUAUCUUGGUAAACGUGCAGGCGCCCUAUCGGUUUCCUCACCAUUCUGCCUAGGGUGUCUACCUCUGCCGGCUCCCUGUGCUGCUAGGGGGAUGCAGCGUUCUGUCUGUCUUCGCACACCACAUUGCACUGGCCUUGUUUCUUGCUUAUGACCCCGCCCGUGCCAGUUCCAUGCAGCCAAGAAAACGAAGGCCCUUAUUCGGUAUGCUGCACCUGGUGAUCUGCACCCCGUGCCGUAUUCAUUCCAAGGUUUCUGGUAAGGGCGCGGGAAACCACCUCUCCCUUCGCACAUGAGCGCCGAGUCGUCAUUAGCUG